rnacentral:lncRNA from 1 species
AAAAAAGUAUCUUUUCUAGUUAUACCUCUCUAGUUCCUUCAACUGGUCCUCUACAGCAGUUCUGGACUCCGUUGUUCUACAGUUUGUUAACAUGCCUUCAAAAUCUGAAUUGAACACAGUGCUUAAGAUAAGGUCUAAUGAAUACAGAAUAUGUUGAUGACAUAGAAGACUUAAUUUCCUCCUCAUGAUUAAUCUCUCAGUUGGAGAGUAUACACACUCUUACACAGAAUCCAGGACGAAAGCCCUCAUCAGAUGCUUACAUCAUGAUCUUGGACUUCCCAGCCUCCAGACUG